CAAGAGGUAGUUUAACUAGAAUUUCAGCUUUGGGUGCUGAUGGUAAGACUUUAGUCUUUCUCUUGA
rnacentral:tRNA from 1 species